CCAGGUAAAUGCCCUGUGAAAUCGUUGUGCCUAACGCAACGGCGUGCGGGGUAGACUGCCAGGCUCGGGACCGGGAGAGGCAGACGGUAUUCCAGGGGGAGCGGUAAAAUGCUGUAAUCCCUGGAGGACCUCCAAUGGCGAAGGCAGUCUGCUAGAACGGCUCCGACGGUGAGGGAUGAAAGCGAGGGGAGCGAUCGGGAUUAGAUACCCCAGAUAGUCCUCGCUGUAAACGCUGCGAGCCAGAUGUUGCAUAAUCCUCGAGAUUGUGCAGUGUCGAAACGAAGGUGUUAAGCUCGCCACCUGGGAAGUACGGUCGCAAGGCUGAAACUUAAAGGAAUUGGCGGGGGAGCACCACAAGGGGUGCGGCGUGCGGUUUAAUCGAAUUCAACGCCGAGAACCUUACCCGGGGCGACGGCAGAAUGAAGGCCGGUCUGAAGGGCCUGCCCGACGAGCCGAGAGGUAUUGCAUGGCCACCGUCAGCUCGUGCCGUGAGGUGUCCUGUUAAGUCAGGCAACGAGCGAGACCUGUGUCUUCAGUUGCUAACGUAGGAGCAAUCCUGAGCGAGCACACUGAAGAGACCGCUCCCGAAAGGGAGAGGAAGGCGCAGGCCACGGUAAGUCCGUAUGGUCCGAAUCUCCGGGGCAACACGCGCGCAACAAUGGUGCGGACAAUGGGAUGCGACUCCGAAAGGAGAAGCCAACCCUCGAAACCGCAUCUUAGUCCGGAUUGAGGCUUGCAACUCAGCCUCAU
rnacentral:rRNA from 1 species